UAUGUAAUCCAGGUGAGUAUUUUGGUGAGAGGUGUUCAGAAAGGACCGAGGUCAGUAAAAGAUGGCGAAGAAAGCCUUGUGUCUCAUUGCCACAAUUUCUACGAAAUGGUCGGAAAUCUGGGACUGAAAUUGGCAUCGAUCUGUUAUGGAAUCCAUUUGCCAGAAAACGGGUGGUGAGAGAUUUGCUCCAGCAGUGAACGCGUCUUCCGUCUUAAACAAAGUAAGGACAGCUUGGCAGUGACUCAACCGUGCACGAGAAGAUUGAAUACGUUCUCCAUCAAAGACGUCAGACUCGUGUUCCACAGCGGCUGCAUCCAUGUCAAGAUUACAUGUCGCUUGUCAGAGUUUGUCUGCUAGUAAAUUUGCAGGGUUGAAACUUAAUAUAAACUGUAAUUUUCACUUUGGGUUGUGAAUCGGCUGUAGUUAUUUUCAAACUAUCACAAAGUAGUGUUCAGGAAGAGUACUUGGCUACACGUACAUGUUGUAGUGGUUUAUUUCCGUGUAGGUGUGGAAACAUAAACAACAUCUUUGAAAAACCAUCGAAUUAUCGUACAAAAUUACUUUUUAAUUGUAUUUUGCUUCUUUAAACAAAAAAUGAAUAAUUGUAAUUCUCUCCGUAUAAAAAAAUUAUCCAGAAGUGUGUAGAUCAACGCUCUGUUAAAGGUUGGCCUUGUAUUGUGCCUUGUAUUUUUUUAGUUGACUUUUUGGUCGCAAUCAAAGAGUGAUUGAAGAAUAACUCCUUAUCGGAUGUCAGUCUUGCAUGUCCUGUCGAGUUAUAAUGCUGAGUGUCACUUGAUCACUGAACACCGGAGACCAGUCUUAAGUUUAUAAGCAUUGUCUUAGUAAAUGUGCAUUUGCAUAAUCUUUUUUUCCGUUCAUCUUUGCACAUUAUUCUUUAAAAUAGCUAUGGUUGAAAUAAGCUUGUAAGUUGGCCAUGUCAUUAUGACGUUUCUGAUUCGCAUGCUGUACAAAUUUCAGUUUUCGCUCAAAGUUGUGCCAUGAAAUACAUAUUUAAGCAAUUCGUAUGAAAAAAACACGUCUGUUUUGGGCAUGACAAUAUUUAUCGAUGAACUAAACAACCAGGAAUCUUACUAAAUUUUAUUAUUUUAUCUACUUUUUUUUUGUUUUGUGAACAUCAGCAAGACGACAUAGUGCUUGCAUGUGGGUACAUGCGUCGGGAUAGGAUGAGGUUAUAUGCAUAUUGAAUUUUCUAUACCGUUCACACCAGUGAAUUUAGACAAACAUUUUUUGGUAAUGUUUUGGUUUUUUUUUUAUUUAUUUAUUUUAUUAAUCUUGUUGGUAUUAUGUCUAUAAUAAUAUUCCUGAACUCCUUUAUAAAUAAAAAAGCUACGCCGGCGAAGUAGAAAUUUUCAAAAUGCAUAGAAUCUUGACACGUUUUAGUUAGAUAGAGAACCAUUUUUGUUUGUGUGUAAAAGCUUAAUUCACAUUUCAUAGUACGUUUUAUGAAAUUGACAUUAAGAAGAAA
rnacentral:lncRNA from 1 species